rnacentral:tRNA from 1 species
UGGGUUGUAGCUCAGUAGUAGAACGCUUGCCUGGUAUGUAUGAGGCACUGGGUUCAAUUCUCAGCACUGCAU